CCCUGCAGAAGAUUUCCUUGAGAUGUACUGUCGUUCACCGCCUUCUUCAGAUGAUAAAAGUCCAAAGUCCUGUGGUUGAAUUAAAGCAGGAGAUAAAAGACCUGAAAGACAAGAAUGCUAAACUGAAGGAGAUAAUUGUUCAAGAUGUACCAGAACUCCUACGGACCAUGAAGAAUAUAAUUGAUUCGGCUGCACCUCCUAAGAGAUCCAGGUUGGAGCUUACCACACCAUCGCUGCCCCCCCAAAGUUCUCUGUAGUCCAGUCCCAGUUCUUCAUCUGCCAAUUCACCACAAUCCCUCCCCAGAUCUACACCAUCCAGUUACACAUCUGAAUCUGUCAUUCCAUCACUGAAGUACUCAGAGACUUCAAAGGUCCAAAAUGUGUUAAGUCUGUGUCCUACCUUGUUGAUGAUGGUGUUCUGAUGCGCUGCUGGUCCCCUAGUUCUGGUCCUUCACAUGAGUCUGUGAGUCAAGUUGUAGUGCCACAGCAGUUUCGUUCCCAGGUGCUAAGUUUAGCCCAUGACCAUAGCAUGUCCGGCCAUUUAGGAAUUAGAAAAACAUACAGCCGUAUCCUCCGUUAUUUCUUUUGGCCUGGGCUUAAGUCAGAUGUUGUGAAAUUUUGUUGUUCAUGCCACAUCUGUCAGGUCUCAGGUAAGCCAAAUCAAGUGAUUCCUGUAGCUCCAUUAAAGCCAAACCCUGCCGUUGGAGAGCCGUUUGAGCAUGUUAUUGUAGACUGUGUGGGUCCUUUGCCGAAAACCAAGUCUGGAAAUCAGUACAUUCUCACUGUGAUGUAUGCUGUGACUCGUUACCCUGAGGCUGUCCCGUUGCGUUCAUUAAAAGCUUGUGUCAUCGUAAAAGCUCUUGUCAAGUUUUUCUCCACAUUUGGCCUUCCAAGGCGCAUUCAAAGUGACCAAGGAUCAAAUUUUAUGUCCAAAAUCUUCACCCAGGUCAUGUCAGAGCUAAAUGUCGA